rnacentral:rRNA from 1 species
ACAGAGGGUGCGAGCGUUAAUCGGAAUUACUGGGCGUAAAGGGCGCGUAGGCGGUUUAAUAAGUUGGUUGUGAAAUCCCUGGGCUUAACCUAGGAACUGCAACCAAGACUGUUGAACUGGAGUGUGGCAGAGGAGGGUGGAAUUCCACGUGUAGCGGUGAAAUGCGUAGAGAUGUGGAGGAACACCGAUGGCGAAGGCAGCCCUCUGGGCCAACACUGACGCUCA